rnacentral:tRNA from 3 species
UGGCUUAUGGUGUAACUGGCAACACGUCUGAUUUUGGUUCAGAAGAGUCCAGGUUCGAGCCCUGGUAAGCCAACAA